rnacentral:lncRNA from 1 species
GCUUAUUUUAAAGUUUAAGUUCUCGUGGUUGAGUUGCUGCCGUUGAUUUAAUACUUUCCUGUCUGAGCACCAGUGGUACUGGUUGCAGUGUUGCUUAAAAUUAUUAAUUCUCAAUUUCUAUUUGGUUACUGCUGGAAUUGCUAGUUCCGUGGCUCAAGUGCUACUUUUGAGCGUUUGACGUGGGUAAUUGACUGUCCAAUUGGUGACAUUUGUUGAGUUUCACUUGCUCGAAUUGGUUGAAUUCACUGCUUUGUUGGGGUUAUUUUUGGUAUCACUUGAGUCCUAUUUUGCUGAUUUCUGUAUUGAGUCCAUUGACGUGAUAUGUUGGAAUAUUUUGGGCUGUGACGAAGUGCUACUUUGCUUGGAAUUUCUGUUGUGCCGUUAGUAGGAUAACUGUUGGGUUUGUUUAUUGACUCUCGCGGCACCUGUGUCCCUUGUUUGGUUAUUGCCAUUGGUUGAUUUUCAUUGACUUGUUGGGAACAAUUUGCUAUUGUUGGGAGAAAUUGACCGGUGGGACAUUUGUCGAGUACUUGGGUGGACGCAUUUUGCAUUUAAUUGUCCGGUUGCGGGAUAAUAUUGUUUACUCACUUGAUUGUUGCCUUACCCUUAGGUGCGACUUCUGCUUUACUGGUUUAAUACAUUUGCUGGGACACCAGUUUCUAUUGUUGGUCGGAUUGUUAAGUGAGACACAUUGGUGGAUAUUGACUUGCUUAUUGUCCUUAUUGGUGGCUGUAGUUGUUAUUGAAUUGUCUAGGACCCCUCGACCCACAUCAUUGUUGGAGUGUUUAUGUACCAUACGGGUCUUGCACCUCAAUUUCCACCUCAACCGCCGCUGUGACCCCGUCCCUAUUUUGAUGAUUUCAGGGAAGUACCGUUGCCCCUCUCCUUCCUUCUGCUUUUACAUUAUCACAUUGAGGGCAAUGUGUGAAUUAGGUGUGGGGGGGGAUCGUUGUGGUGCUAGUAUUUUUGUUUUUAGUUUCUAGGGGC